UACGGAGGGUGCAAGCGUUAAUCGGAAUUACUGGGCGUAAAGCGCGCGUAGGCGGCUAGAUAAGUCGGAUGUGAAAUCCCCGGGCUUAACCUGGGAACUGCAUUUGUGACUGCAAGGCUAGAGUACGGCAGAGUGGGGUAGAAUUCCACGUGUAGCAGUGAAAUGCGUAGAUAUGUGGAGGAAUACCGAUGGCGAAGGCAGCCCCCUGGGUCGAUACUGACGCUCAUGCACGAAAGCGUGGGGAGCAAACAGG
rnacentral:rRNA from 1 species